rnacentral:rRNA from 1 species
CGAUGCAACGCGAAGAACCUUACCUGGCUUGACAUCCCGGAGACCCUUAGGAAACUAGGGGGUGCUUCCAUCUGGAAGAAUCUGGAGACAGGUGCUGCAUGGCUGUCGUCAGCUCGUGUCGUGAGAUGUUGGGUUAAGUCCCGCAACGAGCGCAACCCUUGCCUUUAGUUGCCAGCAGUUCGGCUGGGCACUCUAAAGGGACUGCCGGUGUUAAACCGGAGGAAGGUGGGGGAUGACGUCAAGUCCUCAUGGCCUUUAUGUCCAGGGCGACACACGUGCUACAAUGGCCGGCACAACGGGAAGCGAGUUCGCGAGGACGAGCGGAUCCCUCAAAAGCCGGUCGCAGUUCGGAUUGAAGUCUGCAACUCGACUUCAUGAAGCUGGAAUCGCUAGUAAUCGUGGAUCAGCCAAGCCGCGGUGAAUACGUUCCCGGGCCUU